CAGUAGCCACGGUAAUACGAAGGGUGCAAGCGUUAAUCGGAAUUACUGGGCGUAAAGCGCACGUAGGCGGCUUGGUAAGUUAGAGGUGAAAGCCUGGAGCUCAACUCCAGAAUUGCCUUUAAGACUGCCGAGCUAGCAGGUGAGAGAGGUAAGUGGAAUUCCGAGUGUAGAGGUGAAAUUCGUAGAUAUUCGGAAGAACACCAGUGGCGAAGGCGGCUUACUGGCUCAUACUGGACGCUGAGGUGCGAAAGCGUGGGGAGCAAACAGGAUUAGAUACCCGCGUAGUCCCUGUCUCUUAUAC
rnacentral:rRNA from 1 species